GUGCAUUGUAGUUGCAUUGCAUGUGUGUGUAGUGUGCAAUGUUCCUGCAGUGCAACA
rnacentral:pre_miRNA from 1 species